AUAAAAAAAAACUCGUUUCACUUGCGGUGUCCCGGUCGGUUGUUGAUCUUCAAUUUUUGUACAACAUUACGCCUCACUAUUUCCAUUUUUUUAAGUGCACA